UACGGAGGGUGCAAGCGUUAUCCGGAAUGAUUGGGCGUAAAGCGUCCGCAGGUGGCUAUGUAAGUCUGCUGUUAAAGAGUGAGGCUCAACCUCAUAAGAGCAGUGGAAACUACAUGGCUAGAGUGCGUUCGGGGCAGAGGGAAUUCCUGGUGUAGCGGUGAAAUGCGCAGAUAUCAGGAAGAACACCCGUGGCGAAAGCGGCUCUCUGGAACGGUACUGACGCUGAGACGCGAAAGCGUGGGGAGCGAACAGG
rnacentral:rRNA from 1 species